AGAGCAUGACACAUGGAGGGAGGAGAAAACACCCUCGCAACAUUUUGAAGGAGUUGGUGAGAGAAAAGACACCUAAAUUAAUGUACAGAAUCAGAUUAGAGCUUUUUUCCCCUGAACUAAAUCUUGAAAAAAAUGACCAGCCUGAUAUAAGAAGUGCAUUAUCAAGAGAAGUUGACACAACAUGAAAUGCAAACAAAGCAGUCGCUCUCAGUGGGAAAGACGGCGAGAUCCGAAAACAGAAGAGGGCUCCUGAAUGCCAUGUCCAGUACCAGCAGCAAAAGCAGCAAGAAGAGCCUUUUGCAUGCAGCCAUCCAAAGUCCUUGGAAAAAAUGCCAACACGCAGUUCCACAAUGUCUCCUUUUUUUCUCCUUACUAGAUUGCACGUGAUACUUCUCUUUGUAUUUAACCUUUGGGAAAUAGCUGAUGGGGAACCUUUAGAUCAUUCCAUUUACAGGCUUCAAAAUAAUCCCUGAAGUACACGACAAUCAAAGAUUUAUAGCCGUCUGAAAGGCACCAGAGUUUCUUUCCAAUUAGGUUCAGUCACUGAGUGACAAGGAGCAGCAAUCUCAAGUUAUUGCAAAGUAAGCAAGAGAUAAAAAUGAAUGGAGAAAACCAUACCCUCUCUAAAACUGUCACCAUAGCCAUCAAUGGCUAAAUACAUCUCCAGUCACUGACUGUAUUUUAAGAAGAUAGUAAGCAUGCAAUUCAAAAGGCCUUUCUUCAGUUUAUGGGGAUAUGGGAUCAUAAUAUUGGUACUCAAUAAGAAGCAUUACUUCUUGCUAUAGUCAGAAGUGCAUGCAUGCACACACAUGGGAACGUAUAUUCUAUAUCUCUUAGAGGAAUUGCAGGGGAAUAACUAAAAAUCUAUAAUUUAACCUAAAAAGCUACAAUUUAGAAACCCAUACAAAUCUGACCUCUUAUGAUAGCGCCCAAUAAUGUCUCCUAUGGUACACCCUGGCACGCAUCUGUUGCUCUACAAC